rnacentral:rRNA from 1 species
AGCGGCAGGCUUAACACAUGCAAGUCGAGGGGCAGCACGGGUAGCAAUACCUGGUGGCGACCGGCGCAAGGGUGCGUAACGCGUGAGCAACAUGCCCUAUACAGGGGGAUAAUCCAGGGAAACUUGGUCUAAUAUCCCAUAGUAUUUAGAGGAGGCAUCUUCUAUAAAUUAAAGCUUCGGUGGUAUAGGAUUGGCUCGCGUGACAUUAGCUAGAUGGUGAGGUAACGGCUCACCAUGGCAAUGAUGUCUAGGGGUUCUGAGAGGAAGGCCCCCCACACUGGGACUGAGACACGGCCCAGACUCCUACGGGAGGCAGCAGUGAGGAAUAUUGGACAAUGGAUGGAAAUCUGAUCCAGCCAUGCCGCGUGCAGGAAGACAGCCCUAUGGGUUGUAAACUGCUUUUAUAUGGGAGCAAUAAGGUCUACGUGUAGACUGAUGAGAGUACCAUACGAAUAAGCAUCGGCUAACUCCGUG